rnacentral:rRNA from 1 species
AGAGAUGUGUGAUGACGCAUAUCAAUAAGCGGAGGAAAAGAAACUAACAAGGAUUCCCUUAGUAACGGCGAGUGAAGCGGGGAAGAGCUCAAAUUUGAAAUCUUCAAGGUUCUACCUUGACGAAUUGUAGUUUAUAGAAGUGUUUUCUGUUAGUAGAGUGGCAAAAGUUCUUUGGAAUAGGACAUCAUAGAGGGUGAGAAUCCCGUAUUUGGUCAUUCUUUCUAGCUUUGUGAUACACUUUCAACGAGUCGGAUUGUUUGGGAAUGCAGUCCAAAAUGGGUGGUAAAUUUCAUCUAAAGCUAAAUAUUGGCGAGAGACCGAUAGCGAACAAGUACCGUGAGGGAAAGAUGAAAAGAACUUUGAAAAGAGAGUUAAACAGUACGUGAAAUUGUCAAAAGGGAAGCGUUUGACACCAGUGUUGUUUUUCUCGAAAAUCAAUUACGAAAUGGGUUAUUUUUGAUAGUUAUGACUUCAUCAGCUUUCUGCAUCUCUUUAUGUACUUUCUUAAUGCACUUUUCGUUUAACAAGUCAACAUCAAUUUCUUUUGUUGUAAAAGGAGUCAUUGGAAGGUGGCUUUCUUUUCGGAGAAAGUGUUUAUAGCCUUUGGCUCCUGCAAUCGGAGAGAUUGAGGUCUGCAGCGUAGAUCCUUCGGGGUUAGAUGCAUUUGUGCUAAGUUAUAGCCUUUUCAUAGACAACUUGUUGACUAUGAUCAGUCAUGUAGCUUACUCGCUUAUGCUAUUUUACCUACGCUUAGGAUGUUGAGUCGUAGAGCACGCAG